UUGGAGGGCAAGUCUGGUGCCAGCAGCCGCGGUAAUUCCAGCUCCAAUAGCGUAUAUUAAAGUUGUUGCAGUUAAAAAGCUCGUAGUUGAAUUUCGGGGUUAGUAGGUUGGUCAUGCCUCUGGUAUGUACUGGUCUCACUGAUUCCUCCUUCCUGAUGAACCUUAAUGCCAUUAAUUUGGUGUUUUGGGGAAUUUGGACUGUUACUUUGAAAAAAUUAGAGUGUUUAAAGCAAGCUAACGCUUGAAUACAUUAGCAUGGAAUAAUGAAAUAGGACGUUCGAUCCUAUUUUGUUGGUUUCUAGGAUUGACGUAAUGAUUAAUAGGGAUAGUUGGGGGCAUUAGUAUUCAAUUGUCAGAGGUGAAAUUCUUGGAUUUAUUGAAGACUAACUACUGCGAAAGCAUUUGCCAAGGAUGUUUUCAUUAAUCAAGAACGAAAGUUAGGGGAUCGAAGACGAUCAGAUACCGUCGUAGUCUUAACCAUAAACUAUGCCGACUAGGGAUCGGAUGAUGUUAAUUUUUUAAUGACUCAUUCGGCGCCUUACGGGAAACCAAAGUGUUUGGGUUC
rnacentral:rRNA from 1 species